GACGCUUCGGUCCUUGGAGGAGACAUCUAACCCCUGGUUUCCAUACUGGGAAAAGGCCUCAAUAACCCCCAGCUCUCGGAGAGGUUGUGAAGGUUGAAAGUGGUGCCUGACCCACAACAGGUACCCAAGACUGCGUUCCCAUUGUCCCCUUAGUCCCCACGAACACAGCAGACGGCGAUCUUUAGCAAGGCUACUUCCGACCCUCGUCCUCAGUAAAGUGGGAAGUAGGGCCUGGGCUGGAAGGGGUGACAGGGCGGGGUCGGGUUGUCCUUUCUGAGAAAUCAUGUGCCGAUCCACAAACAAGAUGGCCAUGCAACAAACUUCCAUGUUCUUGAAAACGUUUUGAUGCUUACAAAAAGAAACGAUCGGCGUCGUGCAGCCCGACGUGCCCGUGGCCCAGAGUACAACAGCCCAAGAUGACCCAAGACAUCUUCCCCCUCACAAGGAGACGCAAGGUUCUGUAUUUUCCCGCGUUUCUGUGACUUCUGAAAGAAGUGAACAGCGAGAGCUGAGGCUUUUACCUCCCAUCGCCUGAGCCCACGGACCCUGGGUCCUAAGGAGCGAUGUCCACCCACCCUUGAGAGGAGCGCCUGGCCUGGGCAGGGUCCCUCGUCACGCAGGCCGGAAAUGAGAAGAUUUCCGCCACCCUUGUGUUCAUGCGCCCCAGCGUCUCAGAAGUGAGGCCCAGCCUCAUGAGUUUUAAUUGGACAACAGAUUCCUACUUCCCCUAGGAACCUUGCAGCAACAUCAAGAUGGACCUUUUAUCACAUUUCUGGAAGGGUGAAGGUGCUCUGGAAAAAGCCAGCGGAGAGAGAGGGAGGCCCUCCCGCCAGAGGGAAAGCUAAGCCACAGCAGGCGCUAGGACUCCCGGAGGAGAUGACACAGCCACCGGCUGGCACUUGUCGGCUCGGGCUGCACCGAACAUCAGCGGUCAUGACGACGCUCCCCGCGUCCCCAGGGACAGUGGCGCCAAGCCCGUCCAGAGCUGCUCCAGAGAGUGAGGGACCCAGCACGGCAUCUCUCUCCCUGCCUGUGGCUUGACAGGCCCACACUCUUGGCUCCCUGGGCAGAAAAGAUACGGAACUCCUCCUGGCGUGGCAGCAGCAAUACCCCUGUGCCUUUGGCCUCCGUCCCCUGGUGGCGUGGAGCCCAGAGACGCCAACAUCCUCUCGGACUAAGGAAGCCCUUCCAGAACUUGCCACCAGCCCCGGAAUCCUGGCUGCUCCCCCAGUGAUGGAGCAUUGGACGUGGUGGCUCUCGGGGCUGAAUUCCGGAGUGCUAACGUGGACCAGGAAGUAAGGCUUAUGAGACUUGGUCUUCGAGUGCCCUCCUUUCUCCCUCGCUUGACACCUGAAUUUGGCCUCCUGCUCUACAUCUGCCCGCCAAAUGCCUCUUUUAGCCUCGCUGUUACCCCGCGGCGUCCCAUUGUUUAUACAAGUUAUUUCUCCUCCGCCAAGAAUUUCUUAGUACAUCAGUUAGAACGUAGGAUUUUGAGAGAUUCGUGCUGUCAUCCUUCCCCCCACUCCUGCACUUUAGUGAUUUGCAUGUAGAAGUUACUCAGUCCAGAUUUGUUGAAGGUGGAUUCAACCUGGAUGUCUUCUGUGCAUUUACUCUUGUUAUCUGUUUUGGUCCCAAAUCCUUUCCCCGUGUGGUUCCGGAGUUCCUCCCGCUUCAGGGUUUGGUCUUCUCUAGGGAUGCUGGUAUCUCCUAAUUUAGACAGGAGUGUUCACUGUAGCUGAUUUCCCAUCAACUUGGAGGAAAAGAACUCAUACAUUUUUAGGGCUGAAAGAUUCUCCAGAAAGUAUUUAGUCCAUUUCUUAAUAAGAGGCCAGGUAACUCGUCCGGGGUCAACUGGUUACAUACGCGACAGAAGAGAGAAGCCAAAUGUCCUGGUUUGAUGUGAGGCCAUUGGUCGGGUGGAUGAAGACAUCAUCUGUAUGGCUGGUGUAGGGUGAGUGGGGGCGUCACAUCGUAUCUGUUCUGGAAGGUUCCUCCGUUGGCUCCUGGGCAUUUCAGCUUAACUUUAACAGCUUCCGAGUGAGUUUAGACACCUUCAUCAUGUCUACUCCACAGGGGCUGCGUGGGGGCAGCUGGAAGACGGACCCACUCCCAACACAAUCAGGUCACACAGACGGUGUUCCUAGCAGCAGAGAUGGAACGGUCUCCUGUUCCAUCUCGCAAAUCCACAGAUAUGACUGACAGGGAGUGUUUUCCACUUAGAGUCAUGCAGAUCUCAGAGGUAGGUCUGUUUCCAACCACUGAGGAAGCAUAAAGCAAAACAGUCUUGUCGGCAUAGACAUAUGCCUCAUUGUUUUCAAUCUGAACACAUGUUUUACAUCAAGAGAAGGGCUUGUGGUCGGGGUAGGGGGAGCUGAAGGGAGAUUCAAAGGUUCUUCAGCACUCAAAGAUCUCAACCUCUUCAAAGUUUCAACCCUCAGAGCUCUUACGACGUUUCAUCCCACUCAGCGGAGACGUUUCCCUGCCCACACUCUCAGGUGCAUGCGUGGGGACUCGAGUGUGGUCCAGAAGGACGGAGAAAGGUAACAGGAUGGUCACCUCACUGCAGAGAUUUUCCCCAGAGGAUGUCAUUUCUCCAUUGGGAUUUGAUGAGCUCCCUAAGGCACAUUCACGUGCAGAGAGCAGGUGAUAUCUGGCUGCUAGAGAGGCCGCAUCAAGCCAUGGCGGUCAUGGGUACCACGAGCUCACCCUGGAGGGGAAUAAGCACCUUCUAUCUGGGACGCCGGGCGGGUGGGUGCUGGCCAGAACCAGUGUCAGGGACAACAGGUUGAUCAAGAGAAAAGGGAAGGGUUUGCAUUCAGUUAUCAUCACUUUCUAGCCUCAGGGUUCUCAACCGCAAGUUGGAGAUAAUAAUAACUUCCUUCCAUGAUAUUUUUGGGGUUCACCAAAUGCGAUCAUUACCUGUGAAAGUGCUUGGCACAGAGAGAUGAGGGGCAGUGCCCUCGACAGGAAGGAAUUCCGGCACCCACGCCAGCUCCUGGCUGUCUUCUUUCUGAGAUGACUGUUUCUAAGGGGAAGGAGGAGCAAGAUGAUGCCUCCAACCUGCAGGUCACGUCCAGGCAAGUCAAGUUGGAGUGUAAGAGUACCACUUACACUGGGCCCCAAGCGGUUUGUCGUCAGAGGGCCCCGUGGGAAACAGAGUGGCAGGGUGAUGGGGGGGGGGCAGGAGAGCCCAGCAGGAGUCCUGGGGUCACUGCUCGCACUCUUGCUACUUUGGAUGGGUUCUUUGCCUCCUUGGCCGUCUAUAAAUUGGCCCGUCUAUAAAUUGGAGCAGACUGCACACAGCAUAGGGUCGUGCCAAGGCUCCUGCAGAAUGAUCCGGGAAGACAGCUGGAAAUGACAAGGUGCUGAAACAUGUGUGAUGGUGUUGUUGUUCUUAAAGGAAGGGAGAAAGGAGGGAGAGCAUGAGAAGUGCGGGGGAAGGGAUUAGCCUCUAUUUAAAUUUUUUUUUUUUAAAUUUUAAAAUAGUUUUAAGUUUCCAGAAGAGUUGAAAAAAGGGUCUGAAGAGUUCCCACAUACGGCACAUCCAGUUUCUCCUACGGUCCAGCUCCUAUAUUAGGAUGGAACAUCUAUCCUGUUUCAUAACCAAUAUUGAUAACACUAUUGCUAACUAAUUUUUUUUUUCAACGUUUAUUUUAUUUUUGGGACAGAGAGAGACAGAGCAUGAACGGGGGAGGGGCAGAGAGAGAGGGAGACACAGAAUCUGAAACAGGCUCCAGGCUCUGAGCCAUCAGCCCAGAGCCCGACGCGGGGCUCGAACUCACGGACCGCGAGAUCGUGACCUGGCUGAAGUCGGACGCUUAACCGACUGCGCCACCCAGGCGCCCCCACUAUUGCUAACUAAAGUCUAUGCUUUCUUCAUAUUUCAUUUGUUUUGACCAAAUGUCCUUCCACUCUAGCGUUCCAUCCAGGAUCCCACAUUACAUUUCGUUGUCAGGUCCCCUUUAGGCUCCAGUUGGCUGGGCAGUUUCUCUGAUUUUCUUUGUUUUUGAUGACCCUGACGGUUUUCAGGAGUACUGGUCAGGCGUUUUGUAGAACGUCCCUACACUGGGGUUUGUCUGGUGUUUCCUCAUGAUUAGGGUAGGAUUGUGGAUUUCUGGGAGGAAGACACAGAGGUAAAGUGUCAUUCUUAUCACAUCAUAUCAAGAGUACAGGCAUCUACAUGACUUAUCACUCUUGAUGUUGACCCUGACGUCUGGCUGAGGUAGUGUGUAUAUGUGUUGAGUUUCUUUUUCUCCCUUCUCAUACUUUAUUCUUUUUUUUUUUAAGGUUAUGUAUUUAUUUUGAGACAGCUGUCAGUGCAGAGCCCCACAUAGGGCUCAAACUCACGAUCCACAAGAUCGUGACCUGAACGGAAGUCAAGAGUUGGACGCUUAACGGACUGAGCCACCCACGCUGCCCAUAGUGUAGACCUUGAAAGGGAACCACUGCGCACUCCACGCUCAACGAAUGGGGAGCUCUGCUCCACCUUCUUGGGGGAGGAGUAGUUACCUCGACUAUUUGAAAUCGUACCCCGUGGGAGAGUUGUCUAUUCUCCCCCACUCGUGUAUUCAUGUGAUCAGUACAGAAUAUUUCAUAUUCGUAUGUAUCAGUAUGAAUCAUGCAUAUUUGUUUUAUACUUGUGUUAUUUACAAUCCAGUACUACUUUAUUGCUCAGAUUAUACCAGUUUGGGUCACUGAGAGCUCUUUCAAAUGGCCGCUGGGUUCCUUCGACACACCCCCACCAUCGUGCAUUGUCGUUCGUUUGUUUUUCUGAGCACUUUCUCACUUUCUGACAUUACGAGAUGCUCCAGGAUCACCUUGUAUAUUCCCUGCCCAUCCUAAAGUCGGCCAUUUCUUCAAGAUGUCCUAAUUCCUUUUUAUCAGAGAAUGAUCCUAACAUCUGAAAUCUGGGCACCCGAUGCUCUCAUUGCAAAAAGGGUGUCAUUUCUUGUAUGCUCUGUUAGCUAACAGAUGUGUUUACACAUGUAAACAUGUAAAUAUGUGUUCACACCAACCUGUAUCUACAGAUAUUUUGUACGCAUCCCUCUGUGUCUGUAUUAGGCUAGACGUGAGUUCUUACUGACGUCUCCAAUGCUAAUCCCUGGCCACGUGAAUCAUUCCAGCCUCCCCGCUUUGUUUGCCUGUGUCCUGUCACUCCAGCAGUGAGGACCUUGGCUCCCGCCAUCGGCCACCCAUCUACUUCAGUUGUCAGUUCCAAAAUUCACAAUGGGUGGCUUCAGAAUCAUUAACGCGUGUCCCAUGGGAAACAACUUUACCAGUCGGAAUACAGUGUUACGUAUAAUUCCUUUUGCUUUUGGUUUUACAAUUUUCACUCAUUUCCAGUAGUACUUGGGUCAGCACCUUUUAUACCCACCCAUUCAGGGGAGGGAUUUCCUGUAUUUGUAUUACCGUUAGAUUUAUUUAUUUGUUUAUUUAUUUUUGGUCAGACUCAGCAGUCCAUCCCAGAAUCCCCCAGCCUCUUGAAUAAUUUUUAAAAAUGUGCAUGCAUUUGAAAAUUUCCUGAGACGAAAACCCGGACGACUGAUUUUGGCUCUUUAUUUUUUUUCUAAGACAUACGUUUCACACUAUACACUUCCACUGUUCUGCAUUCUGUCACUAUGGGUUAGUUUCUGUUUUUAAAAUUUUUACGUGAACAGAUUUGUGCAGCGUGUGCCCCGCCCCUCCGGCUGCUUCACUCGGGGUAAUUAUCUCGGAUUCAUUCGUGUUCUUGCCUGUGUCGAUAGGUUGUCUCUUCUUACUGCUCAGUCAUAUUCCAUCAUGUGGAUGUGCCACUGUGUGUUUACCUAUUUACCUGUAGCUGUACCUCUGGAUUCUUUCCAGUUUUGAGCCAUUAAAAAUAAAGGUGCUGCUAGCGUUCGUGUGGGAGUCUUUGUGUGGACGUACGCUUUCAUUUCUCUUGGCUAAACGCUUAGGAGUAGAAUGGCUGGGUCAUAUGGUUAAGAGUAUGCUUAACUUUGAAGACGCUGCCCAUUCGUUCUCCAAAGUGGGUGGACCACGUUCCAUUCCCACCACCGCGUGUAAGGUUCCGGUUCUCGCCCACCUCAGCACGGAGAGUAUUCAGCGCCGAGAGUUAAUUUCAGACAUUCCAGAAGGUGUGUGGGGUUAUCUCAUCGUUGUUUCUGUUUGCAUUUCCCUGGUUACUAACGAGAUUGCGCUUCUGUACCAUUCAUAUUCCUUCUUUGGUGAAGUACACGCUCAGUUCCUUCUCCCACUUAUAAAACCUGGUUGCUUGCAUUUUUCUUAUUGAUUUGGAGGUGGUUGUUUUUUUUUUUAAUAUUCUGGAUUCAAAGUUUAUUAUCAGACACGUGAUCUGCAGAUAGCUCCUAGUCCGUGGCUUAUCUAUUCCCUUCUUUACAGGGUCCCUCAUAGAGCAGAAGUUUUAAAACUCUCUGAAGUCCAAUCUAUCAAACUUUUUUGCGUCAUGCUUUUGCUGUCUUAUCUAGAAAGUCUUUGCCUAGGGGCGCCUGGGUGGCUCCGUUGGUUAAGCCACGGACUCUUGAUCUCCGCUCAGGUCAUGAUCUCACAGCUCCUGAGAUUGAGCCCCACAUCAGGUUCUGCGCUGACCGCACAGAGCCUGCUUGGGGUUCUCUCCCUCCCUCUCUCUCUGCUCCUCCCCUGCUUGCACACGCAUGUGCGCACACCUUCUCUCUACUUUAAAAAGGUAAAUAGGGGCCCCUGGGUGGCUCAGUCAGCUGAGCGUCUGACUUCAGCUCAGGUCAUGAUCUCGCGUUUGUGAGACACUGGGCUCGCGGCUGUCAGCCCAUCAGCACAGAGCCCGCUUCAGAUCCUCUGUCCCCGCCCCCUCUCUGCCCCUCCCCUGCUGGCGUGCUCUCUCUCAAAAAAUAAAUAAAAUAAUUAAUUAAUUAAUUAAUUAAAAGUCUCUGCCUAACUCAGAGUUGCAGAUUCAAUUUCAAAGUCUCCUGGACCUGCCUGUCUGCCUAGAAUUUUUCUUCUAUAUUUUCAUGUUGCACUUUACACAGUUGUACGUUUUUAAAAUGGGCCUGUGAUCCAUUUUGAGUUAAUUUUUAGAUACGGUGUGAGGUGUUUGUCAAAGUCCAAUUUUUCAUGCAGGUAAUUAUUCAGUUGUUCCCCAGCAUUUACCGAAAGAGUAUUUUUUUUUUCUAUGGAGCUGUCUUGGAUUCUUUGCUGAAGAUCAGUUGUGUACAUAUCUGCAGGUCUAUUUCCGAAACAUAUAUUUUGUUCUCUUGAUCCGUCUGUCUGUCUGUCUGCCACUGUAUACUGCUUCCUUCCAGGGACUUUAUAACAAGACCUGAAAUCUGGUAGUGCUCGUCUUAAAAAGGGGUUCUCUUUUUCAGAAUCCUCUUGGUUUUCGCAGAGCUACUGUGUUUUCUUUUGAAUCUUAGGACCAAUUUGUUGAUUUGGACAAAAACCAAAGGAAUUAGGGAUUUUUGACUGGGACCGUGUUGAAUCUACGUCCGUUUAUUUACAUUGUACUCAAUCCCUCUCAGCAAUACUGGAUCGUUUUCAGUAUAUAGGCCUUUCUUAUCCUUUGUCAGAUCUAUCCCCAAGUCGUUCUGAUCUUUAUGUUUCUAGAAAUGGUAUUUUUUAUUUCAAUUUCGGAUUGCCUACUGCUUGUUACAUAGGCAUGCAACUGAUUUUCUUGUGUUGAUCUUGUAUCUUGCACCCCUUCCAGACGCGCUGGUUCCUUUCAGUGGCUUUUUGUAGAUUCAUAUAUUUUUUUUACCUUUUUGUUUGUUUGUUUGUUUCGUGUGAGAGAAUAAAUUUCAAUAAAGCUACUCCCAUUGACUGUA